UCACAGGCUGUGAGGAUUUAAUGAAAUAAUGCAUGGAAAGCACUUAGUUUUAGUAAACUUUAGUAAGAAAGAGAACAAUUACUCAGAGUUUUUAUUACCAUUAGCAUUCUGUUUUCAUGUAAAUAUGCAUCAAGAAAUCAAGUCAAGCUGUGGACAGUGCUGUUGCUUUAGGCAAAUCCUUGUACUUCUUAAUCUAGAAUCAUGGAUACAUAAGUGGAAUAUAGGUAGAUGCUGGUUCAUGUUGCUUGGUGAAUUGGUAAUAGUCUUAGGAGAUGAGUUUAGAGCUCUUUUGUCCUUAAGCACAAUAAUUUAGUGUGCUUGAACAUCCUACAACACAUUUUAGCAAAUUAUCAUCCAUUUUGGCAUAUUACCCUGCCGAGUGCUUUAAUGAAAGCAUGAUGUUUGUCAGCUCUAAACCUUAGUGUGAGUCUCCUUUGAGCCAGAGAGCCAUGGUUGGUAUCUAGGCAGAGGCAGAUCUCCCUAACAUCUUCUAUAUGAAUGGCACAGUGGUUCCCAAGGAGAAGAGAGGAAGAUGAAUAUCUCAACACAACCUACUUGAAUUGUUACAGAAGCAGUUCAAAGGGCACCCCAAAGGGAAACAGGUAUUCCAGGAGGGAGGGAGGGAAGGAGGAAGGGAGGGAGAGAGAGAGAGAGAAAGAAAGAAGGAAGAAGAAGAAAGAGAGGAGAGAGAGAGAGAGAAGGAAAGGGGGAGAGGAGGGCAUUCUAUGUUUCCUUCUAGUGAGAUGGAAGGAAUGGAAGAUUCUCUUUUCAGGGACAGCAUUAUGACAUCAAAAUAUUAAUCAUCCGACACUGUACACAAGGUGUUGGAGGGGAGAGCAUGAAACCUUAGUCUUUCACAAGGAAUAGGCUUAAAAAAGUUUCAAGGAUUUUUUUGCAAAUUAUAAAUACACUUAUUAUUAUUUAUUGCAGAGAUCAGCCUUCAUUAAAGUUAAAUGCACAGUUAAUGGGCUACUUUGUGCUUUAUCUUUUGCACCCUCAUUAAAGUUGAGGGUAGGCACAUGCAUUCCCUUAAGUAUGCUAGAAGGAAAAAUGAUUUCAGUUUUUUUGUAUGGUUGCUUCUGUUGUUUCAUUAGUAGCCAAUUAAUUGUUCCUGAUGAAUUAUCAAAGGCACUAACAAUAUCUGGGUUCUUCUUUUCCACUAACUAGCUCAACUAUAGAAAACUUAGUAUUUUCUGGGAAGUUUUUUUUUUUUUUUAACCCAUUUCUUCUGAACUCUAUUGAACUCAAAGGGAUUCCUCCCACACUCCAAGAACAGCUAGAAGAAGGAGGGAAGAGAAGGUCAGAAGAGCACAGGGGUGGUAACAGCUCUCCUGAGCCUCAACCCAAUGCCAGAGAAGGAGCUCCAACCACUCUGCCAGUUGUGUGGAGAAGGAAUUAAGGAGGAGGAGAAGAAUGGAAGCAGGGGCACCUGCGAGGAGACCACUGGUUGUGACAGGAGCACUUGGCGAGCACCAGCAUUGAUGUGGGGACGAGAGAGGGCACGGCGUCUCUGAAGGCAGAGAUGUCCUACUGCUUUCCUCACUCCUGUACUUACAGUGCCUGUGACUGUGCCUGGCGAAUAACUAGUCUUUGGUGAGCGAAUGAAUAAAAAGAUGAGAAAUGUAUACAUUGUUUACACCUGUAGUUGGCAUUCAAACUAAUUCAUUCCUGGGGCGCCUGGGGGGCUCAGUCGGUUGGGCGUCCGACUUCGGCUCAGGUCAUGAUCUUGUGGUCCGUGAGUUCGAGCCCUGCAUCGGGCUCUGGGCUGACAGCUCAGAGCCUGGAGCCUGUUUUGGAUUCUGUGUCUCCCUCUCUCUCUGACCCUCCCCUGCUCAUGCUCUGUCUCUCUCUGUCUCAAA